UUUUUGGCUAAAAUAAGAAUUAGGGACAAUUCCUUGUGUGAAUGUGGUCUAGAUGAGGGAAACGUGGAUCAUUUAUUCUUCAAUUACCCUUUAACGCAACCUUCUUUAUACAAUUUUAUACCUCCUGAAAUUCCCCGCCCAACUUCCUUUAAAUGUCUCCUCUCCCUAGUCCUCUCACUCCUUUUGUAUAUCUCCCCUCCUCUCACUCCUUUUGUAUAUAUUUUGUGUAAAUAUAUUAAAAUAAAUAAGAUUAAGUUGUAAAUAGCACUAAGUACUUAUAUCAAAUAAUUUAAGUAAUUAUAUUUGUGUUUGUCCCUUAUAGUCCUAACAGCAUGCAUAUUUGUUUCAGGUAUAAGAAAAUAAAACUUGUUUCAAUCUUAAGCACCGAUCACUACCAUUAAAAUUAGUAAAAGAAUACUCUAAGCUUGGUGGUCUACCUUAACGUGACAUUGGCAAACUUGUGGUAUGCCUUCCACAGGAGCCAUAGUAGGAAGAAUAGAAUAUAUGAGUCCAAAAUCUAAUACUAGCCCAAUGGUCAUAACACUAGGUUAUCACAAUUUAUCUGAUGGCUUUAAUAGUCACUCAAUUUAUUUAAUAAUGUUAUUUUUUAUUUUCAGAGAUUCCAAUGCAUUGUUUCCCAGAUGCUGUCAAAUUUCCUGAGCAGUUUAAAACUUGGGUCAGUCUUGUUGGUGGAAACCCUUAAACAUCUGAUUUUGAAUGUUAUAAGAAGAAGAGAAUUUGUGAUAUACACUUUUCUGACAGACACAGAAAUCGUAAUCAACGGCUAAGCACAUUGGCAGUUCCGAUGCUUCAUCUGCCUGGACAACUACAGAGUCAAGUAAUCUGAGGACAAGCUUCAUCCACACAACAUUUACUGCCUACAAUAAUACAGCAAGACUGUUCAGAGCCAUAUGUAAGCAACUUUAUUUUAGAAAAAGCAUCAACUUCAACAACAUUCCAACCUGGAAUGUGGCUGCAGAUGCAUCUCAACAAUUUGCUUCAGCAAGGUGCUUGAUGCUGGAACAUAAUUAUAGUGUUAUUAGCAAGCCUAAAGGAACAGCUGAAAAAGAUCUAAUGGCUCCACAGUGCACAAAGAUCAAGCAUCUUCAAGCAGAAAUAUCGCGCUUGCGAAAAAAAGGACAAUCUUUCAAAGCAAGGUUAAAAGGUGGUGCAGAUCGAUCAAUCGAAUUUUGUCCGGAAAAUUAACAUAUGUGGGUGAAGACGAAACAAAAACAGCUGCCCAAAAAUAUUAUGAUAAACAUAAACAUUAUAAAAAUAAAAAAUAAUAUGCAAACAUU